AGGGAAUAUUGGACAAUGGGGGGAACCCUGAUCCAGCCAUGCCGCGUGGAGGAAGACUGCCCUCUGGGUUGUAAACUCCUUUUAUAUGGGAAGAACCGUCCUCAUUGAUGAGUGACCUGACGGUACCAUAGGAAUAAGCACCGGCUAACUCCGUGCCAGCAGCCGCGGUAAUACGGAGGGUGCAAGCGUUAUCCGGAUUCACUGGGUUUAAAGGGUGCGUAGGCGGAUAUGUAAGUCAGUGGUGAAAUCAACGGGCUCAACCUGUUAACUGCCAUUGAUACUGUGUAUCUUGAAUAUGAGAGAGGUAGGCGGAAUGUUGCCUGUAGCGGUGAAAUGCUUAAAUAUGCUACGGAACACCGAUUGCGAAGGCAGCUUACUAUUUCGUAAUUGACGCUGAGGCACGAAAGCGUGGGUAGCGAACA
rnacentral:rRNA from 1 species